rnacentral:rRNA from 1 species
UACGAAGGUGGCAAGCGUUGUUCGGAUUUACUGGGCGUACAGGGAGCGUAGGCGGUUGGAUAAGCCCUCCGUGAAAUCUCCAGGCUUAACCUGGAAAGUGCAGAGGGGACUGUUCAGCUAGAGUAUGGGAGAGGGCAGUGGAAUUCCCGGUGUAGCGGUGAAAUGCGCAGAUAUUAGGAGGAACACCGGUGGCGAAGGCGCCGCUCUGGGCCGAAACUGACGCUGAGGAGCGAAAGCAUGGGUAGCAAACAGG